rnacentral:rRNA from 1 species
GACGAAGGGGGCUAGCGUUGUUCGGAAUUACUGGGCGUAAAGCGCGUGUAGGCGGUUGUCCAAGUCGGGUGUGAAAGCCUUGAGCUCAACUCAAGAAAUGCACUCGAUACUGGGCGACUCGAGUGCCGGAGAGGAUAGUGGAAUUCCCAGUGUAGUGGUGAAAUACGUAGAGAUUGGGAAGAACACCAGUGGCGAAGGCGGCUAUCUGGACGGUUCUGACACUAAGACUCGAAAGCGUGGGAGCAACAGG